rnacentral:rRNA from 1 species
CUUAAAUUAUUAAUAGGUAUAUUCUUUAAACUUGAAGAAUUUGGCGGUGGUUUAGUCUUGUUAGAGGAACCUGUUUUUGAAUCGAUACGCCACGCAUAAUCUUGCUUGUUUUAUUCAGUUUGUAUACCGUCAUUGUUAGAUAAUCCUUAGAAGGAAAAUUAUUAACCCUUAUAUAAAUAAUAUAAAUUAGAUCAAGGUGCAGCUUAUAAACAAGCCAAAAUGGGUUACAAUAAAUCUUAUUUACUAUGGAAUGAAAAUCUUAAAAUAGAGUCAUGAAGGCGGAUUUAAUUGUAAUGAUAGUUUAACAAGCUAAAAAGAUAUAAGCCCUGAACCAU